ensembl:lncRNA
GGGUGCGCACUCGCGCAUGCUCAGUUGGGGGGUCUUAACAGGCUCUGCUCCAAGUGUGCGUGGUUCAAGUCACUUCGGUCGUGUACGACUCUUUGGGACCACUCCAUGGUGUGUAGCCCACCAGGCUCCUCUGUCCAUGGGAUUCUCCAGGCAAGCACACUGGAGUGGGUUGCCAUUUCCUCCUCCAGGGGAUCUUCCCAAUCCAGGGAUCGAACCCAUGUCUCUUACAUCUCCUGCAUUGGCAGGUGGGUUCUUUACCAUAAGCGCCACGUGGGAAAGCCCACAGCUGACUCCAAAUUCCUGGACCACAACUCAGGCAAACAACUUGUAAUUUAGGCUCUGUGCUGCUUGGAGGGUGGUGCAAGUUUUAUGCAGACGACCUUUGAUGAGUGAAGGCACAUGAAAUGGAUUUGAGUAAUGACUACCCAGGGCUUUGAACAGGUACAUCCAACACUCUGGACAACAAGUGUCCACCAGGACGUGGAGGAACUGGAACCGUCACACACUGCUGGUGGGCACGACAACGGUACUUCCACUGCAGGAAAGCCUGGUGUCUCCGGGGCUGAACACAGUUAGCAACAACCCAGCAGUUCCAGUCCUACACACCCACGAGAGAGGAAGACAUACACCCUCGUGAAAACCUGCACACCCAGGUUCCCAGUAGCGCUAUUUACACUAGCCUAAAGGUAGAGGCAGCCCACAUGUCCAUAGAUCAAAGGAUAAACACAAUGUGAUCUAUUCAUGAGGGAAUACUCUCAGCCAUAAAAAGGGACGAAGAACUGACACACGUGCUACAACACGGAUGAACCUUGAACACACAGUGCUCAGUGGAAAAAGCUAGUCUUGGAGGAAACCGCGCGCUGUGUGGU